UUUUUAAGAUGAUUUUUAUUUAAUGCAAUGAAUGCAUCGAAAUGCAAAUAUUAGCUCUGAUAUUAUAGUUUAUUAAAUAAAUAAAAGACAAAUUUUGAACAAUAUAAAAUGUUGUUACGUUAUUGAACUCGACUGUGUUUUUUCCAAAACAAUGUGUACAUGACUUCACACAUUAUAACCUUGAAUUGAAAAAAAGAUUUUACGAUAUCCUGUCGCGUUCAAGCAUUUAUUGUUCUUUAAUUAAGCGUAAAAUGCCUAAGCGUAGCAAAAAAACUGAUCAAAAGAAUAGUGUUGGUGGAAAUAAAAAGAAGCAGCAGGGAGCAGCAAUCUAGUUGGAUCUAGUGAUUUUAGUGGCUUUGCUACGACCUCAGCACUGCCUCAAUCAGUAAAACCAAAUCGUUUCACCAUAUAUACUCCGCUACCGAAUCAAGCUUGUUCAUCCAAUCGAUCUGGUAAAUUGAAUGAUCCUUUGACUGUUCUGGAACGAUGUUUUCCUGUCUGAAAAAGACUUUUACGACUGAUCCAAAUAUUAACGUAACCGUGAAGCAACUGGAAGAUAUAGACAGAGAAUCGAAGAGCGUUGGACAGUUUGUGCAGAAUCUGGCUUUGCUGAUGUACGGAGCUGAAGCCUUGCGAGAAAUGUCGGUUACUGGUCGCAAAUACGCACAAUCUACAGAUAAAUUAAUAAGACCGGCAAUAGACGAAGCUAAGCUGCAAUUUAUCUACA